AACGAACGCUGGCGGCAUGCCUAACACAUGCAAGUCGAACGAGACCUUCGGGUCUAGUGGCGCACGGGUGCGUAACGCGUGGGAACCUGCCCGUAGGCUCGGAAUAACUCCCCGAAAGGGGUGCUAAUACCGGAUAAUGUCUUCGGACCAAAGAUUUAUCGCCGUUGGGGGGGCCGGCGUUGGAUUAGCUAGUUGGUAGGGUAAGAGCCUACCAAGGCGACGAUCCAUAGCUGGUCUGAGAGGAUGAUCCGCCACACUGGGACUGAGACACGGCCCAGAAUCCUGCGGGAGGCGGCAGUGGGGAAUAUUGGAAAAUGGGCGAAAGCCUGAUCCAGCAAUGCCGCGUGAGUGAUGAAGGCCUUAGGGUUGUAAAGCUCUUUUACCCGGGAUGAUAAUGACAGUACCGGGAGAAUAAGCUCCGGCUAACUCCGUG
rnacentral:rRNA from 1 species